GUCCCCUGCUGACGGCUCUCCCUCUGCCACAGGGCGCGGGGUUCAGGUGGGCGUCCCCGAGCCAGUCCCCAGAGGAGCACAGGAGGGUGGUGACGCUGGAGAAGAAGGCAGAGGAGACCUUCGGCUUCGAGAUCCAGACCUACGGGCUGCACCACCAGGACAGGAACAGCGUGGAGAUGUUCACCUUCGUGUGCCGGGUGCA